AGUGAACGCUGGCGGUAGGCCUAACACAUGCAAGUCGAACGGCAGCACAGUAAGAGCUUGCUCUUACGGGUGGCGAGUGGCGGACGGGUGAGGAAUACAUCGGAAUCUACUUUUUCGUGGGGGAUAACGUAGGGAAACUUACGCUAAUACCGCAUACGACCUACGGGUGAAAGCAGGGGAUCUUCGGACCUUGCGCGAUUGAAUGAGCCGAUGUCGGAUUAGCUAGUUGGCGGGGUAAGGGCCCACCAAGGCGACGAUCCGUAGCUGGUCUGAGAGGAUGAUCAGCCACACUGGAACUGAGGCACGGUCCAGACUCCUACGGGAGGCGGCAGUGGGGAAUAUUGGACAAUGGGCGCAAGCCUGAUCCAGCCAUACCGCGUGGGUGAAGAAGGCCUUCGGGUUGUAAAGCCCUUUUGUUGGGAAAGAAAAGCAGCAGGUUAAUACCCCGCUGUUCUGACGGUACCCAAAGAAUAAGCACCGGCUAACUUCGUG
rnacentral:rRNA from 1 species